GGCUUGGUAGCGCUGGGAGCGCGUCUGUAUCUGCUAUCGACUUUCUUUGUCCUGGACGAAUGCAGAAGGUGCCCGUUCGACUCGGGCCCGAGCCA